UCGAAAUUGUGCGCAGGAGCGGGGGGAUUGAGAAGGGUGCAAGCGUUGUUGGGAAGUAUGUGGCGUUAAGCGGUGUGAGGUGGUUGUUGAAGGCUGUCGGGAAAGGCCUGGGCUCAAGCUGGGAACUGCGAGGGAAACUGGGCGACUAGGGGGUGGUAGAGGGUAGCGGAAUUCCUGGUGUAGCAGUGAAAUGCGUAGAUAUCAGGAGGAACAUCCAUGGCGAAGGCAGCUACCUGGGCCAACACUGACACUGAGGCACGAAAGCGUGGGGAGCAAACAGGAUUAGAUACCCGUGUAGUC
rnacentral:rRNA from 1 species